AUUACAUUUAAAUCAAAAAAUUUUCCUUUUCUUUUUUUCAAUCACUCAUUUUUCAAAAAAAAUAUUAUUUCACUCAUUUUUAUUAUCAAGAAAUGGGGGCCAAACAAGGACUAAAUAUAAAGUUGGAUGAUAAUUGUUUGACUUAAACCUAAAUUGAUGGUAGGAUUUAUUUUCAGGUACACAUGCUAUGAACGUAGAGUGAUGCUACAGUUACAUAAUAGGCCCCUGCUAGGAAAGUCAUCCCACAAUGAUUUUUUUUGUGAAUAUAGUUGGCCCUUCCACACAGUGAGGGACAUGUAAAGCCGCCGUCAAAGAAUGUCCUCAUUGAAGUAUACAAUUUUGACACAAUUGGAGUAUGGAGGCCAUUAAAUAAAGGCGGUAGUUAGAUCAUAUUUUAUUGGUCGAGUAGCAACCUGGUAUUCAAUCUUAAAAAAUGAGCAAAUUAAUCUUUAAACUUUUAUUAACUCACUUUUGUUGAUGCAGAGACACAUUGUAAACUAACAAGGUUGACCAAGUUCAUUGACCAUAAAAUUUCUCUUUUACAUUAUCA
rnacentral:lncRNA from 1 species